AGUCCCUCGACAGCCUCCGACAAUAUGAUGUUCCGCCUCGUCUUCGCCGUCUUGCUGCUCUGCGCCGUCGCCCUCGCGGCUCCAGGCUUCGGUGGUUUUGGAGGAUUUGGCCACGGUGGCUUCGGUGGUUUCGGACAUGGUGGUGGAUUCGGGAAAUUCGGAGGUGGAUUCGGACAUGGCUUCGGAGGAGGAUUUGGACAUGGUUUCGGCCACGGUGGAUUUGGUGGCUUCGGGUCUCACUGGUGAGGGGCUGUGGAGAUCAAACUCUUCAGCCUCAUACGACCACUCCAACUGGACGACACGAUCGAACGAAUUUCUUCAAUUAUUUUAUUUAUGAUAUUUUCGUGACAUUUUAUUUUCUUACUCAGCAAAAAUAAAGGAAUAAAUUUAAGAAAAUUUUAUUUUUCCAAUUUGAAUCGAAAACAAUUAGC